rnacentral:rRNA from 1 species
UACGAAGGGGGCUAGCGUUGCUCGGAAUCACUGGGCGUAAAGGGUGCGUAGGCGGGUCUUUAAGUCAGGGGUGAAAUCCUGGAGCUCAACUCCAGAACUGCCUUUGAUACUGAAGAUCUUGAGUUCGGGAGAGGUGAGUGGAACUGCGAGUGUAGAGGUGAAAUGCGUAGAUAUCCGGAGGAACACCGGUGGCGAAGGCGGCUUCCUGGACCGACACUGACGCUGAGGCGCGAAAGCUAGGGGAGCAAACGGG